GAUCCUGCUCAGGAUGAACGCUAGCUACAGGCUUAACACAUGCAAGUCGAGGGGCAGCAUGAACUUAGCUUGCUAAGUUUGAUGGCGACCGGCGCACGGGUGAGUAACACGUAUCCAACCUGCCGAUGACUCGGGGAUAGCCUUUCGAAAGAAAGAUUAAUACCCGAUGGCAUAGUUCUUCCGCAUGGUAGAACUAUUAAAGAAUUUCGGUCAUCGAUGGGGAUGCGUUCCAUUUAGG
rnacentral:rRNA from 1 species